rnacentral:rRNA from 1 species
GACGAACGCUGGCGGCGUGCUCAACACAUGCAAGUCGAACGGAAAGGCCCUGCUUUUGUGGGGUGCUCGAGUGGCGAACGGGUGAGUAACACGUGAGUAACCUGCCCUUGACUUUGGGAUAACUUCAGGAAACUGGGGCUAAUACCGGAUAGGAUCUCCUGCUUCAUGGUGGGGGUUGGAAAGUUUCGGCGGUUGGGGAUGGACUCGCGGCUUAUCAGCUUGUUGGUGGGGUAGUGGCUUACCAAGGCUUUGACGGGUAGCCGGCCUGAGAGGGUGACCGGCCACAUUGGGACUGAGAUACGGCCCAGACUCCUACGGGAGGCAGCAGUGGGGAAUAGUGCACAAUGGGCGGAAGCAUGAUGCAGCAACGCCGCGUGCGGGAUGACGGCCUUCGGGUUGUAAACCGAUUUCGCCUGUGACGAAGCGUGAGUGACGGUAAUGGGUAAAGAAGCACCGGCUAACUACGUG